UCGCGCUACUUCACCUGGUGGGACAUAUACUAAUAAACAAACCAAAUCGGGACACGAGACAAACAGUGACUCCUCGUGUACUCUGUUACUUCUGUUCAGAGCCUGUUUAAUGAUUUUGUAUUCUCCAAAAAAACACAGAGAAGAGAAUCAUAUUUAUUUUAAUUUAAGGUUAUUUCAACAUAAAUUAAUAUACAUUAUUUUAUAGUAAAUACAUAUAUUUUGUGACUUUUAACUAAUUUAGCUAUUCAAAAUUAAUUUAGCAUCUGUUAUGUCUUUUUAUUGUAAUACUUUAUAACUUUGGAUGGUAUUUUGUAGUGGUUAUUUUAAUUAUAUACUAGAUCCUCUCUUAAAAAUGUGAAUAUAUUUUUUGUUUUACAUUUUUUUAGAAAUUUAAUUUUUAUAAUUGUAUUUUUAGUUAUAUUUGUGUUUUCUUUGUAUAAUAUUUCUUUUAAAUAAAUUUUUUUUGAUCAAUUUCUUUUAAAUAAUUAAAAGAAGUUUUAAUAAUUGUAUUAAAAUAGUUAGACCACACUUAUAUCAAUAUGUCAUGUUACUAUUUUAAUAAAAUAGAUUAUAUAAUAUAAUGAAAAAUGAUUAUAAACUUUAUAUAAAAGGGCAUAUUUGAGAUUCAUAAUUAUUUGAGAGAAAGUUAUUUUCAAUGGGAAAAUGUAUCUUAGACAAUUAAUUUCUCUAAAUCUAAUACCCUUUGGAAUUAUUUGAGCAACUUUGCUUUCUUAUAACUACUCAAAAACUCUAGUGACUUUUUAACUAAUUUACGUACUUAAAUUAAAUUAUUAUAAGUUAAUUUUGCUCUAUAUAAAUUAUGUAUUCUUGAUUACAUUAAUACCUUUACUACAAGCAUAUCAUCAUGACAAACUCAUCGAAGACAAAGCUCACAUAUAUUUUUUGGUUUGCUAUAACCAUAAUGGUGAUAAUAACAUUGAUAUGUUCAGAAGAUGAUGACAUAGGGUCGCGUGCUCUUAAGAACGGUGAAUCAUAUCGUUGGCAGUUUUAUGUUAAUUUUUUUAAUAGUACACUAUACUUUUGUGAAUUUCAUCAAGGCAAAGUAACAAAAGGUGUGUUCGACAUUUACGAUGCGCUUAGAGAUUUUAAAAGAUGUACUCGAUGUACAUGGAUGGCAGAGACUGAUGGUCUAUACGGAUUUAGUGAGAAGAAACCACCACCAGCCGCAGUGUUCUAUAAAUGGUUAAAGUAGUAUAAAAUAAGUAAUUUGAUAAAAGUAUGUAAUGCAAUUUAUUAAAAUAUAAAUAAAAUAGGACUUACCUUUUAACUGGUAAGUUUUAUUUAAUUAUUCA